CCCUUAGAUGUCCGGGGCCGCACGCGCGCUACACUGAAGGAAUCAGCGUGGCUUUCUCCCUGACCCGAAAGGGUUGGGAAACCCGUUGAAUCUCCUUCGUGAUAGGGAUUGGGGCUUGAAAUUGUUCCCCAUGAACGAGGAAUUCCCAGUAAGCGCGAGUCAUAAGCUCGCGUUGAUUACGUCCCUGCACUUUGUACACACCGCCCGUCGCUACUACCGAUUGAACGGUUUAGUGAGGGCCUCGGAUUGGUCUCGGCCCGCUCUUUACCGGGCGGCGCCGUUGGUCGAGAAGACGCUCGAACUUGAUCGUUUAGAGGAAGUAAAAGUCGUAACA
rnacentral:rRNA from 1 species